ACACAUACGCGUGAAUCAUCGAAUCUUUGAACGCAUAUUGCACUUCUUGGCUUGCUGAGAAGUAUGUCUGUUUGAGUAUUAUUUUACUCUUCUUAUAAUACUAUAAUAAUGUUAAUACUAUUAUUGUAGUCUCAUAUAAGGAAUUGAACGUCACUCUACUAUUUUGAGCGUCGUUUGUAAUAUAAAAGGGGGUUUGUAACUUGGUUAUAUAGCAACAAGGAAUGUGACUAGUUGUUGUGUUGUAGUUGUUUAGCGUACCAGUCGCAUAUAUAUAUAAAAAAAGAGACAAACCUUGUAUCAUGCCAGGCGUGUAGUGGUACAUAACUAGUAACUCUAUUUUUUAUUGAUGGUACAGCAGAUUAAAAUGACAUUUACAUACAUAAACUAGUAACUGUUUUUUUCUUGGAACCGAGUUCCCAAUAUAUAGUCUUUAUGGACUUGAUUGGUGUUAAUGCUUUAAUUUUAAUCUCAAAAUCAGACAAGAGUACCCCGCUGAACUUAAGCAUAUCAAUAAGCGGAGG
rnacentral:rRNA from 1 species